AUCAUUUUAAAGGCCCUGCACUACUGUGAGCUACUGAAUGUUACGAAACAGACUCCUGUGUAUCCAAAAGUACCUAAAGUCUUGCAUGUAAGAAGCGUUUUAAUCAUUUUUGAACAUGAAGAAAUGAGCAGACAAGUAAAUUUCUAUAUAAUAGAAUGUUAUAGGUAAUAUAAUAGGAACAAGAUGUCUAAUAAUAACAUCUAUUGCAUUUCCAAAAUAUGGCUUAAAUUAAUGUUUAGGAUAUAAGUUCACAUGAGUUAUGCAAAUAUGUUAUGAAUAAGAGGGAAAUCAAUUAGAACUAUGUCAUCAGUAGGAAAGGGGAUUACAGUAUAUUUUCUAAUAUCCUCUCACUGUAAGCUCAGAUUUGGAUUUUAGAUGAAAAUUUUUUAAACUUUCUUUUGGCCCCAACCUACACUCUUUUAAAUAUAUCUUUUCAGGUUGUACAUUACUCUAUAAUUUUGAUUUCCUAUUCUUUCUCCUGGUGGAAUACUGAUGAAACAUUUCUUUUCUCUUUUAUCUCUCUGUAGUAAUAAUGUUCCAGCUUUCAGGUAGCGGUAGAUGACCAUGUUUACCCGAAUGAAUGUCUUAUUUUGUAGAAAGAAAAUUGAAGUCUUUAUUACAGAAAUACUUCCAAAAAACAAAUUGUAAAUUCUAAUCAGUAUUUUUAGGGCUAUCCUAUGAAUAAAAGUCUCCAUAUAUAUCUGUACUUCUCCAUGUACCUACUGUAGUUAACAUUAUAAGAAUGACACUCAUAAAUAUUACCUCUUAAGUAUGUCUAAUGAACAAACUUGGGAAGAAAUGUGAAAUCCUUUCGUAAAUUGUAAAGUGUGUAUACAAGUGUAGGACAAAACGAUCACAGUGGGAUUCAGCAAUUUAGUAAAUAUUGAGGAUUCUUUUUGUAAAUCUGAACAAUGAAAUGGCAGUAGCACCGAGGAAAAAAAUGGGAAAGUUGGAACAGGCAUGUCGAUUUCUACUUUGGUUUACGUUAAGUUUCAGCAGACUAUGGGAAUAUCCUAAGGGAAUGUAGUGAUUUGGCACUUGAGACCUUUCCAAUGAGAUUGUGUUUUUGACGUUGAAGGAAUUUCUGUUCUUGACUCCUGACUGUGUGCUAGGCAGUGGGACACUGAAUGUACAAGAUGAAGCUUAUGAUAGAGUCAUAGGAGCAGAAAAUCAAGUAAAGAACAAACACUUCUAAGUCACUAUAAGUGCUUCCUAUAAAGAAAACAGAGAAUGUCAGGUAAGGCCACAUUGAAGAAGUGCGUAGUUAGGAUGGGGACUGGAAUGGGAGUAGAAUUCUGUUCUCAAAGAAGAUCUUUCUGAGUGUGACUUUAAGCUGCCAACUAGAGGACAAGAAGCAGCGAGCCAUGUGACAGUCUAGAAGGAGGAUACUCUGGACAGAGAGAACAAUGGGUCACAUAUGUUUUUCAUUUUGUUCUCAACAUCCAAAACGCGGGAAGUGUGGUAAGCAUCCUCGUCUCCAUGUGUAUUAUUAGAAUAUGUAGAAAAGAGAAUGUGUAAACACGGGCCUCUGACAGUUUAAAUGCUUCAUAAUAAAUGUUCUUCUCCUUCCCUUUUUACUAACUCUUGCUUUACUUUCUUGAAGUUAUUUCUUAAUUUUGAAAGAAUUGCAUACUAUAUCUAAUAUUUGCUUGCUUUUAUUUAAAUAAGGCAUAAAGAAAAGGUUUCUUACUAUUUUGCCAUUUUUCCUGUCAGUAAAAAUUUUACCAAAAAUAUUUUUAUUUUUCCAAGCCCUUCCUUACCUAAAUAAAGCAGCUUUCACAAUGUUCUGCUUAUACUCAACAUAAUGUACCCUGGAGUUACCAAUCAUGCUGAGUAUCUUAACACUAAGAUCAUUUAUGUAAUUAGAAAUAUUUUAAAUAUUAUUGUUGUAAGUAUUAUACCAAAUGUGUGUGUGUUUUUUAAUGCCCUCUUAUUGUUGGUAGUGAAUGCAAAGUAGAGUUAGGUAUUUGAAGUUAGUUCCUUGCUGAAAUAUACACAUGAGCUAAUAUUGUAUCGGUCACUAUGUUUCCUUUGGCUUUCUAUGUUCAGUUUACAGAGUCAAUAGCCAUAUGGAGAUAAAAGUUUAGCUCGAUCUGGAGAACAUAUGAGUUUCUCUGUUGAAAUAUUUUGGUUUUCAAUACAUGCUUUCCUUAUUUCUAGGUCUCAUUGCUUUUAAAUCAGGAAAUUUAGAACAUGAUUAGGAAAUAUUGAGAAAUUCAUUGUUUUUUCAUUGAAACUCGUUAUUUAUUAUAAUUUCAACAGACUACCUUUGAAAAUGUUCCACAGAAAGAUGAUAGUCAUUUAACUGAAGCUGAUGGUCAAAGAGGAAAAAGUACAAUAAAGGAACAAGAAGGUAAGAACUGUAUUUUAUUUAAAAAUUGGACAGAAUGUUUAUUUAAAAAACAUGAGCUCUGUUAUGUUCUAGUAGCCAAGGAAAAUAAGGUAUGAAGUGCAUAGUCAAAAAGAGAGAAGUGAAAUCGUGAUACGUUGUAUUUUUUGUAAGGUAUUAGCAACCGAUUUGAUUAAGAGUGCCACUGAAGGAGCUGAAUCAUUAGUUCCAAUUCAAGAUACUCUAAGCCCUGAGGAAAGUCAGAAAAUAAGGAAGAAGAGUAAAUGAGGGAAUGAAGAGUGAAAAAGGCAGAGAAUAUAGGGAGUAAAUGAAGGAAAAAGAAGCAGAUAUAUGCAAUGAAGGGUGAUAGAGUAAGAUACUUAUUUGGGGAGAAUAAAGUGAGUUUCCAGUACCCAAACUUGUCAGAGAAGUCAAGCAAAAUGUGCCACUCUUGCUGUUUUCCUUUGGGAAUGCCUUAAGGAUGGAGGUACCUGACCAUGCAGAGCUGUUUUAUCUGCGAUAGAGGAAUGUAAUGUAUGGUCAGCCAUGCUUAAAUUACAUGUCUAUAAUUUAAUAUGCUAUAAAAUGUUGUUACUUCAUGGGACAGUAUCUUAGGGGCCAGAAGAAGAGAAUUGGAAAGAAGAGGGUAGGAUUAGUUGUAAAGAGAUCAAGGAAGCUAUAGGCUGAUGAAAAGUUCAUUAGUAACCUUAUGACUUGUAAUGCAGCUUAGAUUUGGAGGAUGUCAUAGGGUGGAGCUUGAGGCUGGAUUCCAGAAGGGCAAGUUGAGGUUAAGGAGUGUGGGAUCACACUCAGUAUAGACCAGAGCUUCCCAAAUUUUAACAAAUCAGCUGAGGACCUUGUUAGAAGUGCACAUUCUGAUUCCACAAGUCUGUGAUUCUGCAUUUCUGAUAAGAUCUCGGGUGAUGCUGACCCUUCUUGUCCUAGGACCACACUCUGAGUAGCAAGGGUAUAGCUGUGCCUUUAGAGAAAUCUGGAAGAGCCAUUGGAUAACCACUCAAGAUAUAACAGAAUCAAGGGCAACCAUGAUUUUGCUUUCAUUUCUGAGCGUGUUUCUAGCCAGAGGGGAAGGAGAAAGAGAUGAAGAAAUAGAAAUCAUUGCUGGAAGAUACUACUGCUAAACGAAGAGAAGAGAAGUCAUGGGAAUAGUCCGUCAAAAGGAGGUAGAAGGGACAGAAUCAGGACAACAGAUCUAGAGAUUACGUUUGCAAAGGAAAAGGGAUUUUGAGUGGAAGAGGAGGGAGAAGAAAGGAAGAAGUUGGCUAGUUAAUUUUGGAGUUGAUAAUAAGGAAACUCAAGAGCUCUCACUUCUGAUGGCUGCAGUAUAUUGGCACUCAAACAGAAAAUUAGGUGAUUGCUGUUCCAGGAAUUACUGGAAAGAGGGAAUGCUAGAAUGGGGGUAAACCACAGGAGCUAAUUUCUCCUCUCUGUAACUCUCAGACACCAAAGAUGCAUGUUUUGUCGAUAUGAGUUAAUCAACUGAGGUUAAGUUAAAUGUAGGCGCUUUGGCUGCUUUUUCUUUAAGGCAGCCAAUUUUUUUAAUAGGAUGCCUGUUUUGUAAAAGUUUAUCAUGGAUGACAUGAUAUGCCAACCCAAAUUAAGUUUAGGAAUAAAAAAUUACAAAGUUUAUUCCUCGAAUACAAAAGGCAUUAUUUUCUACAAAUAUUACACUCAUUUUGGUAUAUGAAAGGUCAGUAGUAGCUAAUAAUUGUGUAGCAAUGCAUUUUUUAUUAAUAUCUCAAUGUUGAAAGCUUCUUAUACAUUAUUUUUAGACAUGUUUCACAUACCUUCUUCCAUGAGAGGAUCAAAAAAUUUAAGAUGGCCAAACGAGAGGAUAUAAGAAAUGUAGACCUAUCAGUAAGCCCAAAUAGAUAUGGGAAAAAAAUGAACAUUUUUAUGAACUAUUUUGCUGUAAGUGUGGAUCCAAAGCAAUCACUUCAGAACACUUUUCUCUGAUGAGAAAUGAAUUAAACAUUCAAAUGAACUGUCAUAACAACUGUGUGCUUCCUAUAUUACAGGACCAAUUGAAGGACAUGAUAAAUACUUGUUGUGGAAUGGUAUAAAUGAUUCUGAUGUGUCGCAUUAAAGACACACUAUAGCGUUCUACCAUCAGCUUUGGCAUUUAUCUGUGCAGGGUCAUGAUUUGUUCCGCUGGUUACAGAUCACUUUUCUCCUCCUCAGCAUGUCCCCAUGGUUGUGUGCAUACUUUUCUAUUUUAGUUACAGAUAUUUGAAUCAGAAUCUUGCCUUUGAAAUGUUAACUGCAUGUUUUAUUCAACCUAUCUUCUUAAUUUUCUUCAGGAUAUUUCUGUCAUGUUGCUGUCCUGACAAAAGGACAGCACCCCUAAAUCUAAAGUCAUUAUUUUUAAGGGGAAGCACUAAGAUUCAGCUUGAUACUAACUCUGGGUAUAUGGUUAGCUUUAUCAUAUUUAUACAUAAUUGAUUAUAUGUCCCUUUUGCCUUCUAGAUUCUCUUGAGCAAUAUCAUCACUUGAAGGUAAUAACUUUUCUAUAUUUAUCUUUAAUUAUUAACCACAUAGUGUAUCAAACAUAUAUUAUUUAUUAAUCAUUUUGUCUCAAAACCCUUUCAGCCUAAGGUUGAAAUCAGAGUGUGUUUUGAACCAGGCAGUCAGAAUGAAAGGUGUACAAGCAUGCACAUCAGGUAAAAUUUUUUGCAAUACAAAUUUAACUCUGGAAAGAAGCACAUUAAAAUAUUUUAAAUGCUAACAAUCUUCAUAUUCCUGUCUUUUUUUUCAAAUUUGAUGGAUAGAUUUGAUAUAUAUAAUGCAGAUAUUAGUGUUGGUAUCUAUGUUUGAAAAACAUUAUACUUAGAAGUAUAAUAUAGAGAGAUUUUUAAAACAUAAGCUCUAACUUAGAUGUAUCUUCUCUUACAUGUUGCUACGCUGAAGUUCUCAGAUGGGAAUACCUAUACUCAUUCAGGUUCCACAGAGGUGAAUUAUGAGACUACAGUUUUUCCUGUGUUAGGAAUGCUUGUUGGAAUUCUGAUCUUUACCUGGAGGAAAGCUUUCCUUGCUAACAUGUCAAUUUUGUAUUAAGUUUAAUUACUUCAUCCUAGUGUUGUUAGACUGACAAUCUGAAGCAAAUCGGAUGUUUGAUUAUUGUGUGUGUGUGUGUGCAGGGAAUAUCUUGGAUUACAAAAAUGAGGAAAGUAAUCAUCUUUUCAUGGCUAUUUGGCAGACACACUCAUUUCAAAGAGUGAUUCUGAAACUUUAUAGGCUUAGGGUUUUUUGUACAAUUAAUAAUUAUUGCAUAGAAGUAACCAACACCCUGAAUUAGGUGUUUGUCAUUGUCAUGCAGCUUUCAUACAUUUUAUUGUAUAUGUGUAUGGCCAUAAAUCAUAUGUAGAAUUGAUGUUUCUGUCCUAAAAUUUCACUCAUAGAAAUGAUUGUACGUUAUAUAUAUUAUUCAGCAGCUUUCUUUUGCUUACUCAGCAUUAUAUUUUUGAAAUCAGUUGAUAUGUUUUGUUCACACCUAUUCAUUUGAUCAAAGAGAUCCAUCACUAUUUUCAGAAGUAGCUCUAGUUGAGUUUACAUUUCCUAUAGUAUUUCAUGCUAUGACAGUACCACAUUUAAUUAAACUCUUCAUGGUGAGAAAAAGAUGAAAACGUUAAACAAUGAUAGCAGAUUCCAAAGAGCUUUUGUUUAAGUGGAUUGUAUCUAUUGAUUAUUUACUAUAUCAAAAACUGAAGCUGAAUAAUUUAAAAUAUAAGCAUGCACUUCCAUGCAUUCCAAUAGCCAUUAUAACUCCGGCCCAUGGAGCACCCAUGAUCUUAUGACACAUCACGUGUCUAACGGUUAAACGUAAGUUUCAUUAGUAAAAGAAAGUUCAUAUUCCUGAAGACUCUUUAUUAUUAAUAAACAAAGCUCUCAUGGAAAACAAAAUAUAUAAUAUCACUGAGUGAAUCAAAGUAAGUAACACUAAAAAAUAAAAAUGUCAAAGAUGAUCAUUAAUAAAACCGAUGUGAGCGAAUGGCAAGUACAGGACAUGCAGAAUACAAUAAGCCAUGCGGGACUGGUGUGUUUCUGGGGGAAUGGAGGACAAGGGACUGCUUCUGUUUUAGAAGGAAUUUCUCCACGUUAGUCAAGUUGUAUUAUGAUUGACAUUCUAAUAAUGAAAACUUUACUUCCAGCUUUUUCAGCUUUGGAUUUUAAUAGUUUGACCUUCAGUAAUGAGAUUCACGAAAGAUCUGAGAAUUUGAAAGUUAGUGAUCUAUGUCCAUUUGUAUCUCCACCAAUGACCAAAACUGUGUUGGGAUCCACAGACUUGGGGCAGAUGAACUUAAGAGUUCAAGAAAAGAUGACCACUGCAGCUGCAUUUCUAUUUUGGAAUUACACUCUCCGUGACCUGUGUGAGUCACAGCUACCAGAAAACAAAGAGAGCGAAGAAGAACAAGAUUUAGAAGUGACAUCGGAGCAAGAGCCAGAAAGGCUUGAAGGAAGUGAAAAGAACAAGCCACAGGCUGAGGGAGAAAGGAAGAAGCAUGCAAGGAAUGAAACAGAAGCAUCAAGAAACUUACAUGAUGGCUCCACUGAUGACCAUAUUGAUGACGGGUUAAUUCAACAAGGAGAGAGUGGAGAAACUGACAGUCAGCAAAUUCCUAGGACGGAGCAUGAAGAGUGCGAUAGGUAAGCCUAUUUAACAGUAUUUAACAGUAGAUCAUUUCUACUGUACUAUAAAAGUAACCCUAAUUUGGGCAAAUAUCCAUGAUUGACAAAUUUUACAUUUUUACAAGAGAUAUUCAGCCUUGCCUGAUCAUAAAAAUGCAAAAAAAUAAAGAGGUACCAUUUUUUGAAUUAUAUCAAUAUUUUAUUUAAAAAUAAUAACCAGUGUUGACAAAUGUGAGGAAAAAGGGAUUCUCAUACACUGUGGGUAAAUGAAAUUGGUAAAUUCUUCUUGAAUGGUAAUUUAGUAGUGUGUCAAAAUUUCAACAUUCCUUUCACCUGAGACCUUCACUGCUGGGACUAGAUCCUACAGGAAGCCAUGACUUGUGUUAAUACAUACACAUUAAGGACUUCAUACUAUAUAAUUUACAAAAAUUUAGUUUAUACAAUAAGAUUGUUUCCUUCAUUGAUCACCUUUUAUUCCUGUUGUGGAACUCAGUAUUUUAAUAUGAGUCAUUACUCUGUACAUUGGAUGAGGAUAAAAUAUCCUAGAGUUAAAUGGCUUUUAUCAAGCACAAAAUACUGCCCAUGAAACUUUUAGUCUUUCUAUGGUAUUUAUUUAUAAAUAUGAACAAAGGAUGAUCAGCAUCUGUAAUCUAGAAAUGUUCCAGUAGUCUUUUUAGUUCUAUAAUUUUAUGAACUUAUAAUACCCUGGUUUUGCAUUUUUAAAUGCCAUAUGUAUUUAAAAAAUCUUCAAAGUGUUAAAAUAGACUGUAUACUCAUUAUGUAAGAUUAGAAAAAUGCAGCUAAAUGACAAGAAAAUUAGAUGGUUCAUGAUCAUGCCACUUAGGGAGGAUGACCUUGAAAGAACUGCCUGUACUUGAGGGCUCACAUUUCCUUUCCAUUCACUCUAAAAGUCACUCCAGUAAUUUUCUCUCCCAUCACUCCUCCAAAAUUGUUUUUCUCAAGGUUACCACUGAUUUUCACUUUAAUAAAUCCAGCCAUAAUUUCUGAGACCCUGUUUUAUUCAACCUACCGGCAACGCCUCACUCAACAGAGAACUCCCUGCUCCUCAGCACUUCCCUCACUUGGCUUUCAGGAUCUCUCUCCCUCACCUGGCUUCUCCUGCCUUUCUAGUUCAUCCAUCACAGUCUGUUUGGCUUGCUUCUCCUCAUCCCCUACCUUUCACAUAUUGACAUAUCCCACGGCUCAGUCCUCAGUCUUCUUUCUCAUGACUGUUACUAUCCUGUAUAUUGAGAAUGAUGUCCAAAUGUGUAUCUCCAGCCCAGGUCUCUCUCCUUAAUUUCAGACCUGAAUAUCAAACUGCCUCCUUGACACCUCUCUUUGGUCACCUAUUGAGUAUUGCAAACUUGUCAGGUCCGAAAUCGGGCUUCUGAUGCUCUUCUUCAUACCUUCCCCACAGGUAGUCUUUCCUACUUGGGUACAUGGCAACUCAUUCAGUUGCUCUGCCAAUAAACCUUCGUGUCACCCUUGGCUCAUCUCUCUCUCUCUCUCUUUCUUUCUCUCUGAUACCUGACAUCUAAUCUGUCGUCACAUCUUACAAGGCCUAUCUUCAAAAAAAUCCAAAAGCCAGUCACAUCUUACAUGUUCAAGCCACUACCAUGUUUUGUCUCCAUGAGUGUAACAGACUGCCAAAUGAUUUUGUUUCUUUUUCUUAAUUCUCUGUUUAUUAAUUCUUAACCCAGAGGACCUGCUAAAACAUGUUAGAUGAUGGCACUCCUCUGCUCAAAACCUAAUUGCCUCUCAUUUCUCUCAGAAUAUAUGCCAAUGUUCUUUCUAAUACCUAAAAGGCAAUGUGUGACCUGACCCGUUAUCUCUCCAAUUUAAACUUCUAUUUUUCUAUUCCUUUUGCUCCGUUCCAACCACACUAAACUUCUCGCUGUUUUGAAGCACUCCAGACUUACCUCUGUACUUGGCAGUUCACUCUGUCUGGGAUGGUUUUCCCUCAGAUAUCCUCCCAGCUUGCCCCUUCUGUUCCUUCAGGUCUUUGCCUAACAGCCAUGUUCUCAGCAAGACCCUUUCUGGUCAUCCUACUAUUUCUACCAGCCCUCCUCCCCAACACAUAAAACCUUUCAUUUUCCUGCUUUAGUUUUUUCCCUCUAGCGUAGUAUAUAUUUUGACUAUCGAUUGUAUUUGUUAUUGCGUGUUUACUUCACUCUUGAGUGGGAUUCCUAUUUAUUGCUGUACCCUCAGUGCCUAGAAAAGUGCCUAGCAGAUAGUAUGUAUCAACUUAAUAAGUACUUAUUAAAUGAGUGAAUAGAAUUUACCCUGGGUAUAUUGAUUUAGACAUUAAAUGGAUUCUUACUUAAAAACCAGUUUGACGUGGGUUCAUUUUGACAAUUUUAUCUGGAAGUUAUAUUCAUAUUUUGGAUUCUGUUGGCUCUUUCCAUCUAGGGAGAAAAGCCCAAUAUUGUGGUUAUUCACAAAUUAUUCUUUUUCUGGUAAUUACGAUAGUUUUAAUUAUGGUACUAUGGACCAAAGGAAUUGCAAAUUUCAUUUGUAUUUUCUUAAGCAAAAUAAAAUAUAGGGGUGGUAGAUGUAAUUGACUUGAAAACAUUUUCCCAAAGCAUUAGAAGCCUUCAGUGAUUAUAAAAAAAAAAAAAAAAAAAAAAAAAAAAGGCAAGGUUGGAAUUCAUUUCCAUCUAUAGUGGGAGAGAUGUGCUAGUCAGGCACAGUCUCUUCUGAUGGAGCAGCUGCUGAUCUUACAUAGGGUUUUGGUAAGACUGGAGUUGAAGGACUGGCUGAGUUUUAAAGGAACAAAUGGGUUGACAUCACCUGGAGCAGCAUGGUUAUCAGAGUGAGAUUGUUGUGGAUUGGCUGGCAUUUCCAGGCUCACUGAUUGGAGUGAGUUUGUCUCUGAUUGUUUCUCUGUCAGAAGCAAGCAGCUGACAUUGAUUGGUUGGUGGGUGAGGCCACUGGUCAUUGAGUAGAUUUAAAACUGGUUCUGGGUAACUACUUGUUACCAUGGCUACAGGUCAAUCCUUUACUAAGUGGAAGGCAACUUUUACCAGAUGCUUUAUGCUAAUUAAAACUUUACAGAAAAGCAUCUCUGAUUUUUUGCUUCUUUCUAUUUUACACUUUCUUUUCAGGUUCCUAGGAAUCACCUAGAUGCCAUGUGCCCAGACUUUGUGCUCACAUCCUGAUCUCUAAGUAGGAUGACUUUCGUGUACAUUUUUCCUUGUGUGCUUCCCUUACAUUUUGCUGCUUCUGUAAAGCCUUCUUUGUGCUCAGAAAAACUUUUCAUAGAUCAGUUCUUACAUAUUGCAUUGUAGUAUAAUUGUGUAUUUAUCAGUCUUUUGAAGCAGAGAAUAUACAUUUCCUUGUAUUUUUUUGGUACUUCAUAACAGGUUUUUGUAUUAAGAAAUGAAUUGAGAUGGAAAAUAGUUGCAGUUUUAUAAAAAUUUGGUUUAUUAUUUUUUGUCUGUAGAAUUAUUAGAAAACAUUAUCUUUUUAAUGAAUUUUUUGAAGUAGUGUCCUUGCCUUGCAUAUGAAGAAAGUAAAGAAAAAUGAACAUGAAGAAUGGAUCACAACAGAAUCUGUGACUCUGCUAGUAUUUAAGAAGGCCGAUUUAAUAACUCAUGAUCUGCUGCAAGUGACUGAUGACAGCAGUUUAACUGAAAUAGAUGAGGAAGAAAGAAGGCUUACAAAGAAAACGUCUAAUAAGAAGGACAAGGUAUUGUUAAAAAUAUGUUAUUGUGAAUAUGAUUGUUAAAAAAUACAUUAGAAGAGGUAAAGUUGGCCGGGUGCGGUGUCUCACGCAUGUAA